UUUCAGGUGUGUCGAUGCUGUGAGGACAGUGCUGAAGCCUUCAGUCUCUGUGUCUCAGUGUCUCGGUGUCUCUGCGUGUGUGUUUCAGGUGUGUCGAUGCUGUGAGGACAGUGCUGAAGCCUUCAGUCUCUGUGUCUCAGUGUCUCAGUGUCUCUGCGUGUGUGUUUCAGGUGUGUCGAUGCUGUGAGGACAGUGCUGAAGCCUUCAGUCUCAGUGUCUCAGUGUCUCAGUGUCUCUGCGUGUGUGUUUCAGGUGUGUCGAUGCUGUGAGGACAGUGCUGAAGCCUUCAGUCUCAGUGUCUCCGUGUCUCCGUGUCUCUGCGUGUGUGUUUCAGGUGUGUCGAUGCUGUGAGGACAGUGCUGAAGCCUUCAGUCUCUGUGUCUCAGUGUCUCUGUGUCUCUGCGUGUGUGUUUCAGGUGUGUCGAUGCUGUGAGGACAGCGCUGAAGCCUUCAGUCUCAGUGUCUCAGUGUCUCCGUGUCUCUGCGUGUGUGUUUCAGGUGUGUCGAUGCUGUGAGGACAGCGCUGAAGCCUUCAGUCUCUGUGUCUCAGUGUCUCGGUGUCUCUGCGGGUGUGUUUCAGGUGUGUCGAUGCUGUGAGGACAGUGCUGAAGCCUUCAGUCUCUGUGUCUCAGUGUCUCGGUGUCUCUGCGGGUGUGUUUCAGGUGUGUCGAUGCUGUGAGGACAGUGCUGAAGCCUUCAGUCUCUGUGUCUCAGUGUCUCUGUGUCUCUGCGUGUGUGUUUCAGGUGUGUCGAUGCUGUGAGGACAGCGCUGAAGCCUUCAGUCUCAGUGUCUCAGUGUCUCCGUGUCUCUGCGUGUGUGUUUCAGGUGUGUCGAUGCUGUGAGGACAGCGCUGAAGCCUUCAGUCUCAGUGUCUCCGUGUCCCUGCGUGUGUGUUUCAGGUGUGUCGAUGCUGUGAGGACAGCGCUGAAGCCUUCAGUCUCUGUGUCUCAGUGUCUCGGUGUCUCUGCGGGUGUGUUUCAGGUGUGUCGAUGCUGUGAGGACAGUGCUGAAGCCUUCAGUCUCUGUGUCUCAGUGUCUCGGUGUCUCUGCGGGUGUGUUUCAGGUGUGUCGAUGCUGUGAGGACAGUGCUGAAGCCUUCAGUCUCUGUGUCUCAGUGUCUCGGUGUCUCUGCGUGUGUGUUUCAGGUGUGUCGAUG